GAAAUGCGAUAAGUAAUGUGAAUUGCAGAAUUCAGUGAAUCAUCGAAUCUUUGAACGCACAUUGCGCCCCUUGGUAUUCCGAGGGGCAUGCCUGUUCGAGCGUCAUUACACCACUCAAGCACUGCUUGGUAUUGGGCCCUGUCCCCCUCCGCGGGGGGCGAGCCUCAAAGACCUCGGCGAGGCCUCACCGGCUUUAGGCGUAGUAGAAUUCUUUCGAACGUCUUCAAAAGGGGAGGACUUCUGCCGACAGAAGCCUUUAAUUUUUUCUAAGGUUGACCUCGGAUCAGGUAGGGAUACCCGCUGAACUUAA
rnacentral:misc_RNA from 1 species